GGAAGGUGGGGAUGACGUCAAGUCAUCAUGGCCCUUAUGUCCAGGGCGACACACGUGCUACAAUGGCCGGCGACAACGGGAAGCGAGUUCGCGAGGACGAGCGGAUCCCUCAAAGCCGGUCGCAGUUCGGAUUGAAGUCUGCAACUCGACUUCAUGAAGCUGGAAUCGCUAGUAAUCGUGGAUCAGCCAAGCCGCGGUGAAUACGUUCCCGGGCCUU
rnacentral:rRNA from 1 species